rnacentral:ncRNA from 2 species
UUUUUCUUGUCGGAGUGCCUAACGUUCACCGUCUUAUCACGAUGAACACAGGCUGAGACCGUUAAUUCGGGAUCCGCAGAACCUGAUCGGGCUAGUACCCGCGAAGGGAACAAGAGUAAUCACCCC